UUCUGGUGUGUCUGAAGACAACUACAAUAUACUCACAUAAAUAAAUCUUUAAAAAAAAUUAGAAACAGCAUGAGUCCAGGAGUCGAGGGUGUGUCUAUGUCUCACAAAAUGUUAAAUGCUGGGACCUUCAGGACAGCUCUUAAGGAUGUAGGAUAUAUGAGUUCGAAAAUACAUAAUUUCUCAACUAUGUAAAAUAUAAGGAUGCAAUAGGAAUAGUAUAAAGAGUUUCACAAUCUAAAGGAACAGAGGCAGCUGCACUAUGAUCCAGUGUGUCAGGAAGAUACUAAGGAAGAAGAGAAAGAUUUAGGGAGUAGUGAUUACAGGGUAAGAUCCCACCCAGCUGAGUUUUUGUUUGUGUUUACAAAGACAGGCAGAUUUUUGAGUUCAAGAUCAGCCUAGGACAGAGGGAGUUUAGGUCCAGGUCCAGGGGUGGUAGAAAUUACCAUUUCAGGGCAGGACCCCACACAGCCAGCUUAUUGUCUGUGCUUAACAAAGGUAGGCAGUUCUCUGAAUUCUCUUGCAAUGUUAAGAAAAUGUAUUUGCUGUCUCUAAGAAUCAAGGGGCUGGGCUCAUGGGAUCUUGGGAUAAUUAAAAGGGAAGCUGGGGUGGAUUAAAUUAUUAUAUAAAUAAAAGACUGGGUUUUUGAUUUGCAAAGGAUGAGCUAGCCAGGAAGUUUUUAGAAUAGCAAGAGAAAGCUGUCUCAAGCAGAACAUAGGCCAUCAGCUUGUAACCCAUCAUGAUUUGACUUUGCAUUGUUUGUUUCACUGUUCCUUGUCUCAGGAACCCUCUCCAAGCUGUGGUUGGUCCUUGGCAACAUGUACUAUGGAUGGCUCCCCCACUGCUGGAUUACAGAAUCCAGACUCCUAAGGGACCAGGGUUCGAUUCCCAGCACCUACAAAGAGGUUCACAACUGUCUGUAACUCCAGUUCAGGGGAUCCAAUGCUCUCUUCUGACCGUCAAGGGCAACAGACAUGUGAGUAGUGUACAGAUAAAGGUACAGGGAAACACACACACAUAAAAUAAAAAUCAACAAAUCUAAAACAGAUAGAUCUUAACUACAUUACCUUAAGGAACAUUAUUAUAAACAAACUCUUACCUUUGAGAGAUAAUCCUAACAGAGAUACAAAGAACCACACCUUUGUCCCUAAUGCCUAUAACUAUGCUGUUUGAAGGCAGUGCCCUGAAAAUCCCCAGAGCCCUCACUCACAUCAAUAACCAGAGUGGACUGAAGCAGAAAGGAUAUUAGUGAUACGGGUGGAACGUGGUCUCUCAUCUGGUCGAUAGGGAGGAUCCCAUUGCAAAUCAUCUCUGCUUUGGUGGACACGAAAGAUGGCAUCACCAGGCCCGGGCAGUCACACAGGCAGAGGCCAGGCUCCACGUACAGGGUCUGAAAGUCACACAGCAGGUUAUGACGGCACAUGGCAAGUGGAAGGAAGAGGAGUGCUGGGACGAACAACGGGGACAUACCUGGAAAUGCUUGGUGUGGCCUGGCGUGGCAGACACCGAUACUUUCUUGUUGCCCAUGAUGGUGUUGAUGGUUGAGCUCUUACCAACAUUAGGGUAGCCCACCUAGAAGAGAACCACAGGUCACCUGAGUGUUGGAGAUGCUAGGUAAGUGCCUGGCUGAUCUGAAAGACUAUUUAACAGAUGCUCUGUAUGUCUGUCUUUUAUUUCUUGGCUUUUAGACUUAGCCUCCUACCUGACAUGUGGUGCAGCUAUGUGGCGCAGACAUGGCUGCUGGCCCUGUAGCAAACCCCACCUCAUGCCCAGCGCCUCCCUAGGAGGUGUGUCACUGUUUCCACUGCAUUGUCAACAAGGGGGUGUAGCCAACACCAGACCAACAACCCUAACUUCCCAGCAUCUAUAAUCGGCAGUGCUUUUUAGUCAGGACUCAGUGGGAUGGGGCAGAUGAUUUCUGCAGAACACUUAAGACACUCUCUAGAUGCCCAGAGUGAGGAAUGCAGAAAGCAAGGGAGGCUACUUUAUUUCUAGAAAUCAAAGACACAGAUAGAGAAACCAGGUUUUCCAAUACACACGAAAAGUACUUUCUGGAACAGAGAAUAUAGCCUUAAAUCUCAGAGAAAUUAAGAAACUUUCAUGUUAAGGUUAGUUGAGUGUGGAAUUAAGAAUUACACCACGGGGGCUGGUGAGAUGGCUCAGCAGGUAAGAGCACCCGACUGCUCUUCCGAAGGUCCAGAGUUCAAAUCCCAGCAACCACAUGGUGGCUCACAACCAUCUGUAAUGAGAUCUGACUCCCCCUUCUGGAGUGUCUGAAGAGAGCUACAGUGUACUUACAUAUAAUAAUAAAUAAAUAAUAAAUAAAUCUUAAAAAAAAAAAAAAAAGAAUUAUGCCACGCCUAUCUAACCCUGGAGGCAGACCUUUAGCCAGUACCCUACAGUGAAAUGCCAUUUUACUUCAGCAUUUUUUAAAAAUUACUCUCACUAUGGGUGUGUUCACUUCUGUGUGUGCAGCACCUGCAGGCAGUGCUCACGGAGGCCAGAAGAGGGCCAGAUCCCUGUGAGCUGCCACAUGGACCUUUUCACCUCUGUGAAAGUAGCCAGCGCUCUCUCAAUUGCUGAGGCAUCUCUCUAGCCCCUACAUUGUAAGUGGCCUUCUGCUGCUUUAGGUGGUGGAUGGAACACAGGAGAGAGAGCUAAACACAGGAUCUACACCUCACACUAACUGAAGAGCUGAGAGACCCGACCUGCUACAGCCUCUCUCUACCUUGUUUUGCUUCUCUGGAAUGAGCUUUCUUAUAUAUGCUGUCCCUGACAGCCUCCACGUCCUUAGCUAAGGACGAGCCACGUAGAGCCGGGCUGUAUCCUUUACAAUUAGGCCAUAUAGCUGCGAUAGCAGCUACCCUUUCCAUUUUUGUUAUCUUUAUACAAUAAAAGUAUCUGUCAUAGUUUGUCUGGCCAAGGCUGGGAUUCUCCCUAACUAACGGCAUCUGAAACAGCAUAAGCUGGCAAGGAUGCCAGGAUGUCUACAGAACACCGCACUGAAGUCUGGCAAUGUCAAAACCUGUCUCAUUCUCACCUCUCAGCAACGGAUGUGACAAAGACCUGAACUGGAAGGAGUCUAUAGAACACAUUUAAUAUAAACAUGUGUGGUGACAAUAUAACCCUGAGAUGUUCCCUUUGAGUCAGACCCUGCCCCUCCACUGCCUCACCCCAUGAUACCUUCCCUGUGUCUUCCCUGUGGUGCAGAAGCCUGCCUGACUGUGUGGGUCCACCUGUAGCUGUGGAAGGACAGGGACUGCUGCAGGCUCUCUCAUGUGCUGGCUUCAGUGUCCUUCAUCUUACCAGCCCAACAGUUAGCUGUCCAUCUUUCACUUUCUUUCCAGUGUGGAGUUUCUUAAAGAGUUCCAGUAAUUCCUGUUUCGACACCAGGUAGCUAUCAUUGUUCACUUGUUGAUUUUCUGCGUUUUUUCUGUUCUGAGUCUCAGAAUCCGCAUUACAGCCCUCCUCCUCCUCAGGGACGCUGUCUUCUUCUGAACACGUCUGCCAAUCUUCCUCUUCGUCCUCCUGACAGUCCUCAUAUUUGCUGUCACCACUGUCACUUGCGGACUCCUCACUAAGCGAGAUCAAGUCUCUGUGUGGGAUUUCAUUCGCAUCCAAACUGGAGCUUUCAGACUCUGUUUUGUUGGUGUCUCCAGCAACACUGUCUACUUCCUCCUGAUGAAGUGACAGAAACCACAAAGCUUCAGACCUGUGUAACCGCACUUUACACACAGAGGCUAGUGAUGGAAGAACAGGAAAUACUAUGCUGGAGACCAGCAUAUGGGCAGGCAAGCACAUAGGUGGACAUCAGCAGAUGCCCCUAGCAGGGCAGACCUUCACUUCUGUUGCUCUGUUGCUGCAGAGCUAAGACUGAGCCCAGGGGCUUUUGCAUAUGAAGCAAGCAGUACACCAUCCCCAACCUUGUUCUGAUUUUAUAAUUGUUUUAAAUAUGUCAAAAAGUACCAAAGUCUUUUGAUCUUAAGUAAAAAAGAGCACAGACCCCUGUGUGUGAAAUUCA